rnacentral:tRNA from 1 species
AGGGGAGUGGCUCAAUGGUAGAGUAGUGGUCUCCAAAACCAUUGGUUGCAGGUUCAAGUCCUGUCUCCCCUGCCA